rnacentral:lncRNA from 1 species
UUAGGUCAAGGUGAGUUUAUUGUCCAUACUGCAUACCUAAUCCCGCCAAAACACUUUUCUUAGAACCAUCUUUAAACUAGUCAAAACAACAGGUUAUUAAUAAAAAUGACAACACUGAACAAAGAAGACCUUUUAAAAGGUAAUCAAGACUACACUGUAUCAGAGUCUUAUCCAUCGAAAACAACCUCGCGUACUUUCUAAAUACUUUUGUUUACACUGAUCAUGUCUACUACCGCACUUUCUAGCAUCCCCUGACCAUAUAAACAUCCACACCUCUUAAAGAGCACAUUGUGAGAGAAUAAGGUUGGCUUGAUAUGGCAUCACACUCAAUAAAGAAAAAAAAAUAGAGAAAAAAAAAAAAACCAAAAAACAAAGUUUGAGAACAGAAACUGUGCAACCGAGAGUGAUUUCUGAGGUACAUGAGAACAUGGUAAGGAACAUAGUGGAAAAAAUCCAGUGGCCAGGUGGUUUGGUGAGUAAUUGAGGGCCCUCCGAUUAUUCCAGCACAAAUUAUCGACGUUGAACUGGGGUUAAUAGUAUUUUUCUCUUUCACAAGCACGUUGGGGAUGUAAAUAAAUAGAUUAUGAGGUGCUCCUACACUACAGUAAUGUGAGGGAGGGGAAAAUCAUCAAAGUACCAUCAAUAGGAAGCUGGGAGAGAAAUGCUCUUAGGAAUUGUGCCAAUUCUUUUGGCACUUGUAAAGGUAUAAUCAGCAUGGUUUGUUUUUGAAUUAAUCAGUAGGAAGGUUUAUGAUUUCUACAGUUCAGGGGGGAAAAAAUCUCACACCUCAUUUACAAUAAUAGUAUAUGUAAAUUUUUUUACCACCUGCUAAGCAGGAGCACUACGCAGUGUUUUUACUUUGAUCGCUACUGUGUAAAUGGUCAAGUUGUAGGUUUUCCAGACUUCAAAUACAGUCUGCUUCUGAGUGUAACCAGGCGGUUAGUAUCUUCUGAGUGCACUCUCAGCCCCGGUGGUGACCUACACAGACCCACCAGGUCCUUGCAAGGGACUGGGGCUCUGUUCCAGCACAACUUGCACCUCCAACCACUGUGCAAGGAGCCAACCUCAGUAGUGGACCUCACCCCCCUUGCUGGCAGCACUACUGAGCCCCAGAGGGAUGAUGUUGCACGAGGAGAUUCCUACAUGGCGCUGGGGCACUGCAGGAGGUGGGACCAAGAGCACGGGCAGGCACCCUAAGUAUUACUUGCACCUACACUCAACUUACAGCAUGGAGUGGAACAAACCAUGCAAACAUGAUGGACACGGUGCCUACGGUUGCUGCAGGCAGCCGCGCUACAGCCCCAGUGCAUGGAGAAAUCAUCCCACUGUCUGGGGACCUUCUGGCACACCUCCCUCUGAAGCCCCUUUUGCUAAUGCAGGAGCACUGUCAGGGAAUGAUCUGAUGUGUCACACGCUGUGUGCACCUCCCGAGUCCUCCUUCCACAACAUUAACUAUUGUUUUGUUCUCCAGAAGAGACACUGUUGCAGAACUUCAGCAGCUCCCAAGGUGGAACACGAAGGUGGUAGGUGAUGGCAGUGAUAACAAGGCUGUCCCCACCCCCAGUGUUGGGAAGCACGGACCUGCUCUGGCAAAGCCAUCAGUGGAGAGUCAAAGUCAAUGCAUUUUUUCCACUAUGAAAAAGAUACCAAAGAAGACCAAAAGGGAGCCAGUGCCCCGGCUGCCUGCAAACCCCUCCCUGGAGCGGCCGGAGCGCGGGCCCCGGGACAAAACCAAGCUGUUGUGUUGUGAGGUAUUGUGAAAAUGGGAACCAUUUCUGUUUUGUCCAGUAAACCUGAGGUAAGUAUACCGUCUUUGCAGGAUGUGAUCAGGAAGGAAGGGAAGAGAUAAAAAAAAAAAAAAAGAGAAGGAAAAAAUAAAAUAAAAAAAAAAAUCAUGAACACGCUAUUAGGAAAAAAAAACAAACUGUACAGGGCAUUUCCAGUAAAUCAAAGAACUCAUCAUAUCUCCACUUAACCAUCUACUUCAGGAUUUGAAAUUUAAGCAGUAAAAUAAUAUAUUAUAAAAAUGUUUAUAAAAUAGCAGCACACUCAGUGAAACAAUACAGCUAAGUACUGUUAAUGUGAAUAAGAAUGAAACAAAUCAUAGCUUCUUAGCAGCGCAAAAAAAAAAAAAACCCAAACCAAAAUGAAACCAAAAAACCCCCCAAAAACAAAAAAAAAACCAAAAAAACAACCCAACAAGACCUUAGAAUCUUACUCCAUUUUCUACCCUCAUCUAGCCAAAUACGGCUGAGUCCAUUCAUAUAAUAUUCUUCGAAGUAGCAUGUUCUUUCUGGAUUUUUGUCUUAAAAAUGCAAACAUUAACAUUUCAACCAACAGCUUCAUACUGGAUAUUUGCAAACUGUUAAUACAAUUGUGCAAAAAAAAAAAAAAAGAAAAAAAAAAAGAAAA